rnacentral:lncRNA from 1 species
AUGGAUGUUUUCUGUUCUAACAGGUGUCUGCUCAUUGACCAGUAUGGUGUUGACCCCUGUCGUGCCAUGGGAGUGUGGUGUGCAUUUUUUUUUUUAAAGGGAGCUCAAGAUCAUCCAGGAUGGCUCGGAAAGUAUCAUUGUAGUAUAAGAAUGACUCUUCUGAAUGGUGUUCCAGGGCUUCAGUUCUUGUACCUCUUAUGAUUUUUGUAGUCUCUUUGAAGCAAUUAAAAUUACAUUUCAAAUCCGUUAUCUACAUCUGUUGCAACUAAGCAAAGUUUGUAAAGUGUCUUCAAUAAAGUGGUAAAAUCAAAGGUCAGUCUCAAGUUUAUAAAGUGUGUGGGGGGGUGAUUAUCUUCUAUCAUUGAUAGUUUAAACUGAACAUUCAGACAUUUUG